CGUACGCACGCAAGAAAAAAAUGAAAAUCGGCGCGCGCAUGCUUUAUUUGCCAUAUUAUAUUCAAUAUUGUUAUUAUUAUGAAUAAACAAAUCAAAACAAAUGGUCUGUAUAUGGCUUCCGUAGGUAUGCCAUAUUCAGUGAUAAUUGUUUAUCGAAUUAUUUUGUUUAAAUUGAUAAGACGGUGACAAUAAUUAGGAUAAUAUACAAUAUUUAUACCUAAUAAUUCACGAUUGACGGAAAUUAUCAUAAUAAAUGUAGACAGUUCAACACAAAACUAUUUAAGAAUGAGAGACACCUAAAGAGGAUGAAAGCUAUUUGUGGCCACAACAAAUACAAAUUGACAUUAUCUUCAAAGAAGUCAACAGCCUUCUAAAAUUGAGUGAUCUUCUAAAUGUAAUUUUAAAUGCAAAAUGAAAAAGAUGGUGAAGAUAUUGUACUUAUAAGUUAUAAGUAACAUAAAACGUCACUUUUUUAUUUUUAAAAAGUAAAAAAAACAAUUCAUAAUAAGAGUUGUAUUUUUAGAUAAUUUUGGUAAAAGUUGAUAAUAAAAAAUUUAUUUUUAUUUACAAUUGAGGGUCCGGAUGCAAUAACCAUAUAUUUAAUACUACUAUAUUGCGCAUGGGGCUCGAUUUUGCUGGUUCCUCAAACGGUGCAGACAAUCUCUCUGUCGCAGUCCUUAGAAGAUUUAGGCAAUGACAAGAGUGGGGAUUCAGCAGAACUCGGAAUAGCUCAACACAUAUACAGAAAUAAUACGCACACAAAUUCAUUGCGCAUGUAUGGAAGCCGAAUCCCCACUCUUGUCAUUGCCUAAAUCUUCCAAGGACUGCGACAGAGAGAUUGUCUGCACCGUUUGAGGAACCAGCGUUCCACUUAUGGGAAAGCAUAGGCGAUGCGCAAUAUAGUAGUAUUAAAUAUAUGGCAAUAACCAGUCGAGCGCUCGAAGACAUAGACGGCAGUGAUGGGUAAAUGGUCGAUUUUUGAGGUUUCAUACACUUACAGUAAGAUACUGUAAGAUACUGUAAGAAACUGUAAGAUACCUCUGACGCCAUUUUGAA